AGCGGCGAACGGGUGAGUAAUGCAUCGGAACGUGUCCUCUUGUGGGGGAUAACCAGUCGAAAGACUGGCUAAUACCGCAUGAGCUCGAGAGAGGAAAGCAGGGGACCCGCAAGGGCCUUGCGCGAGAGGAGCGGCCGAUGCCGGAUUAGCUAGUUGGCGGGGUAACGGCCCACCAAGGCGACGAUCCGUAGCUGGUCUGAGAGGACGACCAGCCACACUGGGACUGAGACACGGCCCAGACUCCUACGGGAGGCAGCAGUGGGGAAUUUUGGACAAUGGGGGCAACCCUGAUCCAGCCAUGCCGCGUGUGUGAAGAAGGCCUUCGGGUUGUAAAGCACUUUCGGACGGAACGAAAUCGCGCGGGCGAAUAUCCCGCGUGGAUGACGGUACCGUAAGAAGAAGCACCGGCUAACUACGUGCCAGCAGCCGCGGUAAUACGUAGGGUGCGAGCGUUAAUCGGAAUUACUGGGCGUAAAGUGUGCGCAGGCGGCCGCGCAAGUCGAGUGUGAAAGCCCCGGGCUUAACUUGGGAAUUGCGCUCGAAACUACGUGGCUGGAGUGUGGCAGAGGAAGGUGGAAUUCCACGUGUAGCGGUGAAAUGCGUAGAGAUGUGGAGGAACACCAAUGGCGAAGGCAGCCUUCUGGGCCAACACUGACGCUCAUGCACGAAAGCGUGGGGGAGCAAACAGGAUUAGAUACCCUGGUAGUCCACGCCCU
rnacentral:rRNA from 1 species